CGGUAACAGAUGGGGAUGCGUCCGAUUAGCUAGACGGCGGGGUAACGGCCCACCGUGGCUACGAUCGGUAGGGGUUCUGAGAGGAAGGUCCCCCACACUGGAACUGAGACACGGUCCAGACUCCUACGGGAGGCAGCAGUGAGGAAUAUUGGUCAAUGGGCGGAAGCCUGAACCAGCCAAGUAGCGUGAGGGAAGACUGCCCUAUGGGUUGUAAACCUCUUUUGUGCGGGGAUAAAGUGUGGGACGUGUCCCAUAUUGCAGGUACCGCACGAAUAAGGACCGGCUAAUUCCGUGCCAGCAGCCGCGGUAAUACGGAAGGUCCGGGCGUUAUCCGGAUUUAUUGGGUUUAAAGGGAGCGCAGGCCGUCCUUUAAGCGUGCUGUGAAAUGCCGCGGCUCAACCGUGGCACUGCAGCGCGAACUGGAGGACUUGAGUACGCACGAGGUAGGCGGAAUUCGUGGUGUAGCGGUGAAAUGCUUAGAUAUCACGAAGAACUCCGAUUGCGAAGGCAGCUUACCGGAGCGCAACUGACGCUGAGGCUCGAAAGCGCGGGUAUCGAACAGGAUUAGAUACCCUGGUAGUCCGCGCGGUAAACGAUGGAUGCCCGCCGUUGGGAUAUUGAUUUCAGCGGCCAAGCGAAAGCGUUAAGCAUCCCACCUGGGGAGUACGCCGGCAACGGUGAAACUCAAAGGAAUUGACGGGGGCCCGCACAAGCGGAGGAACAUGUGGUUUAAUUCGAUGAUACGCGAGGAACCUUACCCGGGCUUGAAUUGCAGGAGAACGAUCCAGAGAUGGUGAGGCCCUUCGGGGCUCCUGUGAAGGUGCUGCAUGGUUGUCGUCAGCUCGUGCCGUGAGGUGUCGGCUCAAGUGCCAUAACGAGCGCAACCCCUGUCCAUAGUUGCCAUCAGGUUUAGCUGGGCACUCUGUGGAGACUGCCGCCGUAAGGUGUGAGGAAGGUGGGGAUGACGUCAAAUCAGCA
rnacentral:rRNA from 1 species